rnacentral:rRNA from 1 species
GGGGGUGAAAGGCCAAUCAAACCGGGAGAUAGCUGGUUCUCCCCGAAAGCUAUUUAGGUAGCGCCUCGUGAAUUCAUCUCCGGGGGUAGAGCACUGUUUCGGCUAGGGGGCCAUCCCGGCUUACCAACCCGAUGCAAACUGCGAAUACCGGAGAAUGUUAUCACGGGAGACACACGGCGGGUGCUAACGUCCGUCGUGAAGAGGGAAACAACCCAGACCGCCAGCUAAGGUCCCAAAGUCAUGGUUAAGUGGGAAACGAUGUGGGAAGGCCCAGACAGCCAGGAUGUUGGCUUAGAAGCAGCCAUCAUUUAAAGAAAGCGUAAUAGCUCACUGGUCGAGUCGGCCUGCGCGGAAGAUGUAACGGGGCUAAACCAUGCACCGAAGCUGCGGCAGCGAACGUAUCACCCAAGACAACUUUGGUAGAGCUAGGGGAGCGUUCUGUAAGCCUGUGAAGGUGUGUCGUGAGGCAUGCUGGAGGUAUCAGAAGUGCGAAUGCUGACAUAAGUAACGAUAAAGCGGGUGAAAAGCCCGCUCGCCGGAAGACCAAGGGUUCCUGUCCAACGUUAAUCGGGGCAGGGUGAGUCGACCCCUAAGGCGAGGCCGAAAGGCGUAGUCGAUGGGAAACGGGUUAAUAUUCCCGUACUUGGUGUUACUGCGAAGGGGGGACGGAGAAGGCUAUGUUGGCCGGGCGACGGUUGUCCCGGUUUAAGCGUGUAGGUGUGUGUUCCAGGUAAAUCCGGUUCACUUUAACACUGAGGCGUGACGACGAGGCACUACGGUGCUGAAGCAACAAAUGCCCUGCUUCCAGGAAAAGCCUCUAAGCAUCAGGUAACACGAAAUCGUACCCCAAACCGACACAGGUGGUCAGGUAGAGAAUACCAAGGCGCUUGAGAGAACUCGGGUGAAGGAACUAGGCAAAAUGGUGCCGUAACUUCGGGAGAAGGCACGCUGACACGUAGGUGAAGUGAUUUACUCAUGGAGCUGAAGUCAGUCGAAGAUACCAGCUGGCUGCAACUGUUUAUUAAAAACACAGCACUGUGCAAACACGAAAGUGGACGUAUACGGUGUGACGCCUGCCCGGUGCCGGAAGGUUAAUUGAUGGGGUCAGCGUAAGCGAAGCUCCUGAUCGAAGCCCCGGUAAACGGCGGCCGUAACUAUAACGGUCCUAAGGUAGCGAAAUUCCUUGUCGGGUAAGUUCCGACCUGCACGAAUGGCGUAAUGAUGGCCAGGCUGUCUCCACCCGAGACUCAGUGAAAUUGAACUCGCUGUGAAGAUGCAGUGUACCCGCGGCAAGACGGAAAGACCCCGUGAACCUUUACUAUAGCUUGACACUGAACAUUGAGCCUUGAUGUGUAGGAUAGGUGGGAGGCUUUGAAGUGUGGACGCCAGUCUGCAUGGAGCCGACCUUGAAAUACCACCCUUUAAUGUUUGAUGUUCUAACGUGGACCCGUAAUCCGGGUUGCGGACAGUGUCUGGUGGGUAGUUUGACUGGGGCGGUCUCCUCCUAAAGAGUAACGGAGGAGCACGAAGGUUGGCUAAUCCUGGUCGGACAUCAGGAGGUUAGUGCAAUGGCAUAAGCCAGCUUGACUGCGAGCGUGACGGCGCGAGCAGGUGCGAAAGCAGGUCAUAGUGAUCCGGUGGUUCUGAAUGGAAGGGCCAUCGCUCAACGGAUAAAAGGUACUCCGGGGAUAACAGGCUGAUACCGCCCAAGAGUUCAUAUCGACGGCGGUGUUUGGCACCUCGAUGUCGGCUCAUCACAUCCUGGGGCUGAAGUAGGUCCCAAGGGUAUGGCUGUUCGCCAUUUAAAGUGGUACGCGAGCUGGGUUUAGAACGUCGUGAGACAGUUCGGUCCCUAUCUGCCGUGGGCGCUGGAGAACUGAGGGGGGCUGCUCCUAGUACGAGAGGACCGGAGUGGACGCAUCACUGGUGUUCGGGUUGUCAUGCCAAUGGCACUGCCCGGUAGCUAAAUGCGGAAGAGAUAAGUGCUGAAAGCAUCUAAGCACGAAACUUGCCCCGAGAUGAGUUCUCCCUGAGACUUUAGGUCUCCUGAAGGAACGUUGAGAACGUUGAAGACGACGACGUUGAUAGGCCGGGUGUGUAAGCGCAGCGAUGCGUUGAGCUAACCGGUACUAAUGAACCGUGAGGCUUAACCUUACAACGCCGAAG